rnacentral:tRNA from 1 species
GCCAAGGUAGCUCAGUUGGUUAGAGCAUCGCCCUCAUAAAGCGGAGGUCGCGAGUUCGAAUCUCGCCCUUGGCA